rnacentral:rRNA from 1 species
GAUGAACGCUGGCGGCGUGCCUAAUACAUGCAAGUCGAGCGAACAGACGAGGAGCUUGCUCCUCUGACGUUAGCGGCGGACGGGUGAGUAACACGUGGAUAACCUACCUAUAAGACUGGGGUAACUUCGGGAAACCGGAGCUAAUACCGGAUAAUAUAUUGAACCGCAUGGUUCAAUAGUGAAAGACGGUUUUGCUGUCACUUAUAGAUGGAUCCGCGCCGCAUUAGCUAGUUGGUAAGGUAACGGCUUACCAAGGCAACGAUGCGCAGCCGACCUGAGAGGGUGAUCGGCCACACUGGAACUGAGACACGGUCCAGACUCCUACGGGAGGCAGCAGUAGGGAAUCUUCCGCAAUGGGCGAAAGCCUGACGGAGCAACGCCGCGUGAGUGAUGAAGGUCUUCGGAUCGUAAAACUCUGUUAUUAGGGAAGAACAAAUGUGUAAGUAACUAUGCACGUCUUGACGGUACCUAAUCAGAAAGCCACGGCUAACUACGUG